CCUACGGGAGGCAGCAGUGGGGAAUAUUGCACAAUGGGGGAAACCCUGAUGCAGCGACGCCGCGUGAGUGAAGAAGUAUUUCGGUAUGUAAAGCUCUAUCAGCAGGGAAGAAAUAAAGUCCUUCGGACUUUGGACGGUACCUGACUAAGAAGCACCGGCUAACUACGUGCCAGCAGCCGCGGUAAUACGUAGGGGGAAAGCGUUAUCCGGAUUUACUGGGUGUAAAGGGAGGGUAGACGGCAGCGCAAGUCUGGAGUGAAAUCCCAUGGCUUAACUCGGGUGCUGCUUCUAAAACUGUAUGACUUGAGUGCAGUAGAGGUUAGUGGAAUUCCUAGUGUAGCGGUGGAAUGCGUAGAUAUUAGGAGGAACACCAGAGGCGAAGGCGGCUAACUGGACUGCAACUGACGCUGAGGCACGAAAGUGUGGGGAGCAAACAGGAUUAGAUACCCGUGUAGUC
rnacentral:rRNA from 1 species